UUUUUUUAUUUUUUUUUUUAAGGGAGAAAUGUAGCAUACUAUCUGCUCCAUUUAUAUUUUUAGAAAUAAACUUAGCUGGAAAUAUAAAUCAAUUAGAAUUCGAAUUUAGAAGCUUGAAUACCAAUUAUCAAAUUUUUUAUCACUUGUGUUAGGAAUAAUUGGUUACUCUGCAAUGCUUGUUAAGUCAUCCUUGGUGAUAGACUCUCUGCUAGUAUCGUCCUUGACGUUGUUUUCUACUCCGCACUCCUCUCUGUCCUUGUCCGCUGCUGUUGGUAUCUCGCACCCUCUUCCUUUUCUCACACAUGCGCCUCUUUCUCUUUUUUUUUUUCUUUUUUUUUAUUUGAGAGAUAGAUAGCACGCUACCCGCUUCGUUUAUUUUAUUUAAAAAUAAACUUAGCUGGAAAUGUAAAUCAACUAGGAUUCGAACUCAGGACCUCGAGUACCAACUACCAAGCUUUUUGCCACUUGCGCUAGGGCCUAGGGAUGGUCGGUCUCUCGCAUCAUUACUAAGAAGCUAAUUUCGGGAAUUUACAACAGCAUCUACCUGGUGAUUAAUUGUCACAAAUUCAGCUGAUAUUAACCACUAAAAAUAUCAAUUGUAAGAUCAAUUGAAUAGUAAAGUUAAAUUAUGUUACAUCACCUUUUUAAAUAGUUCAUUUUAAAAUUCAAAUAAUUUUAGUUCUAUGCUUUUUUUUAUUUUCUUUUUUUUUGAAAUUUGGUUUACACGAAUAUAUAUGUUGUCCGGAGUUUAGAUACUAAUUGAAUCUGGAUGUAGUAAAUAGUAAUAUUCAGUAUUCCUAAUAAUUAUUCCAGUAGGUCUUAUGCACUAUUAGGGUAAGGAGACUUUUAUGCUCCUAAGCCAUUUUCGAUGAUAGAGCUUCUAAAUCGACAAUUGGUUCUGUUAAACUUGAUUUAGCGUAUUUGAAGUAUCUAGAAAAUAAAUUUUACGAUUUUUUAAUAUUAUUUACCUAGCAAUCGAAAGAGUUCAAAAUCAACGGCUGAAAAUAAAAAUCUCGCAAAAAGUAAUGAUAUAGCACUAAAAUUUUUUAUCAGAGAUAUUGAUCUUUCAGUAAAUAAUAUAAAAAUUUUUUUAUCAAAAUUUCAUCUGAUUUGAAUACUUUCUCACCAUAAAACUUACGAACGGCAUACAUCAACCAUUAAAAAUUGUUGAUUUUGAAUCAUUUCGAUUCUUAGGUAAAUGAUAAUCGAAAAUCUACAAAAAUUAUUGUUUAAAUAUUUCAAAUACGCUAAAUCAAGUCUAAUGGAGCUAAUCAUCGAUUCGAAAGUACCAUCAUCGAAAACGGUUUAGGAGCACGAAAACCUCCGUGUUCCUAACAGCACACAAGUCCUACUCUAAUUGUUCAAUCUAGUUUUGACCCGAAUUUUUGCCGCCCCUAAUUUAACCUAAAAGGCUUAUAUUCUCAGAGGCCAUCUAAAUAUUGGCCCAUGUAAAAUAGUACAGUAAAAUUGGAUUGGGCCCACUCAUCUCGUCAAAGGUUCGGUAUGGGCUCGACCCAAUUUUGUCCUUAUAGAUGGGGUAUUUUUGCAUUUUUGUCAUGUCGCUAAUACAACAAUUUAAGCACCGUGGUGCAGAAUAAUGCCGAAAAAUUAUCGAUACAAUACGGUAAGAUACGUGUAGUUUUGUGUCGAUAUGUGUUGGUCGCAAAAUAUCUGUAUGCCGACACACUAUGAUAUGAAAUAUUUAUUUUUUUAGCACCGACAAAUUAUAAUUGCUUAGUAUAUAUCUUUAUUAAAUCUUUUGUAUUUUAUAAUUUAAUAUUUAUUCUACUUGUUUUAACUAGACUUGUACUUAGGCUCUGUUUGGCUCAAUGGAUGGUAGGUCGUAGUUUUUAACUACAACUACGAUCCUUAUCCCUCAACAUUAAGUUAUCCAUUCGAUCCAUGUAUCAGUUUUAUUUCUAUCCAAGGUUAUAAUUUUUUUCUAGAUUUUUUUUUGAAUACAGUAUUCGAUAAACACCCAACGAAUUCUUAGAUAGAGAUAAAAUUAACAUGUGGUAGUGGAUUAGAGGUUCUCCAAUAAGGCGUCUUUUAAUGAACUCCCCGUUGAAAUUUUGUCCCCCGACUUUUCUGUUUGUGUGGGAAUCAUAAAUUUUAAUCAUGCUACUAUCAUACUGGCAAUUUAUCACCACUUAAUAAAUAUAAAUUGUACCGUAAAACUUUAUUAUGAUAAUCUAGAAAGUUCGGAUCGAAAAUUAUAAUCCAUUAUAAUUUGAAUAAUUUGAUGAAUUUUAGAAAUAUAUAUAUAAUUACUAAAAUUGAAAGUUUGUGCACCUAUUUGCAAGAGAACUAAAGUUUAGAAGGGUUUCUAUAUAUUGAAUGUUAAAAAAAUAAUAUUCACUGAAAUUUUAGAGGUGAUUUUAUUUCUAUUAAAAAAAAUAGUUUGCUAUUUUUUUUUCUCUCUUAAAAAAAGCCUCAUGUGACGAUAAUUGGACGGUUCAGAUCACGCCCUAAAUCCAUCCUCGCCGUUUAUCAGUCGGGGCGUGGGCCAAAUCCCACAGGGAAUCAAGAGAUUGUUGCGUGCACCCGGUCCACCGUGCACCGUACUCCAAAAUACCUACCUACAAAACCCAAAUUCAAUUUUACAUCUAUUUUUAUAAUUUAAAAUAAUUCAAAAUAAAAGAAAAUAAAACUUUAGUGGCUCAUUUCUAAUAAAUUAUGCCUAAAUAAUAAAUUUUCGAAAGUUAUAAUUUUUCAUAAACGAGACCCCCUGGGUAUUUUAGGUUAUCACUUUUCUCGAGAAUUAAAAUACUAAUUUUUUAAUCGAUUUAUUGGAAUCAUUGACUAAUAUGAUUUUAACUAAUUUGAAAGGAUCUGAUGAAAUUUCUUAUAAUAUAAAUAUUUUUCAUCCAAUUCUCAUAAUUUACUGUCAGAUCAUUUGAAAAUCUAUUGGUAUAAUUACAUAGAAUAAAAUUUAUGAACUCUAAUUAUUUUUUUCAAAUAAAAAAAUUUAUAUUUCUAAAUAAAUACUACCCCUAAUUUGAUUGAAUUUUAGUUAAAUUUGAUUCCAAAUGAAUUCAAAAGUAUAUGUACCAAAUCUAAAUAUAAUAGAAAGUAAAAUUUACAUAAUUGUAUAACAUCAUCAGCAUGUUUCCAUGUAAAUUCUUUGAGAUUUAUUUUAAUUUAAAAUUUAAAAUUAUAUUUUAUGGAGCUACGAUAUCCGUCUACAUAUAUUUAGCUAGAUUUUAUAUUAACAAGGUAAGCCACUAAGUAUUAGUUGCGGUUAGGGAUGUCAAUAGGUCGGAUUUGAGGUAGAUUUUUAAAAAUUCGAAUCCAAACCGGACUCCAAAUCCGAAUCCGAACCCGACAGAUUUUAAAAAUUCAUAUCCAAAUCCGAACCCGACGAAAAAUUCGAAACCCGAACUCGAACCCGAAGCAAUUAUUUCUCUUUUUAAUAUUUCAAACUAUAUUACAUUAAAUAUAAAUUUUUUAAAAUACAAAUUCAAAUAUAAUACUAUAUUUGUAUAUACAUGUUAUAUAUAAUGUAAAAUAAAUUCGGGUUUGGGUAGGAUACGGUCAAAAUUCAUAUCCUAAUCUAUAUCCGUCGGAUUUUUAUUUUUGAUAUCCAUAUCCGAAUCAUAGCUGUUGAGCAUCGGAUAAAUUCGCUCCGUUCGGGUUCGGGUUUGGAUUCUUAUAAAAUUUCAGACAUGCAUACCCAUUGACAUCUCUAGUUGCGGUGCGUGUAUAUCGGUACACCAGGUCCAGGGGAUAAUUUGGCGAGGGUAUAGGGUUUAUAUCCACACCCUCCUCCCAAAAAUCUCCUUCUCUUCCGGCCAAUUAAGAGAGGGCGAGAGAGAGCGAGAGAGCGACGGAUCGAAACGCGCAAAACGUCCUGCUCGACAAAAUCGGCGCCCAAAAAACCCUCUCUCUCUCUCCAUCUCCCCCGACCCCUCUCCCCCAUUCCCCGAUCCGCAAACCCUAACCCAAAACCCUAAACCUCUCUUCGAUCCCCCGCUUCUCGGCGCCCAUGGCGGAGGAUUCCUCCGCCGCUGACGCCGCCGUCGUCGCCGCACCCGCUCCCACGGUGGAGUCGCUAUUCGGUAGGAGGAUCGAGUUCCACCCCGCGCGGAAGCCCUCUUCCGCCACCGCCGCCGCCGCGUCGGGCGCGAUUGGCGGCGGCGGAUUUCGCCUCGAAACUCUAAACCCCGGCGCCGAUCAGCGCCGGGGGCCGGCGGGGCCUGCAGGGCCUGCGGGUGCGCCGGCCACUGCGGCGGGGAAGAGAUCGGAGGGCGGGGAGUUCUACGAGCAUGGGUUGGAUCCGGAGCUCGGCUUCAGGAUCACCUUCCGGAGAAUCGUGAGUAGGGGGCUUUUCGGCUCUUCGUAAUAUUCGUUGGGAUUUUGUGCCUCGAUUUGUUCGAUCGCUUCGUUUGCAUGUUUAGAUUGGUAUAAAACAUGGUUUUGAUGCUUCAAUUUUCACCAAAUUUAGGGCUUCGGCGCUGAUUCAUGUGGUCUCUUAUUGAUAUCUAUUUGGCAUGUAGCUAGGCCCUGUUUGGCCUUGCUGUAGGGUAUCGUGCUGUUUGGUGAACUGCUGUAUGAGUUGUGCUAUUACGAGAAGCACUAUAUGAAAACCUUCAACAGCUUCUUUCUACAGCACAGUCAGAAUUAUCAGAUCGGAGCUUCUGCUUUUGAGGACCCAACUCUUAUUCUUUAUGUGCUUUCUUCUGCAGUAGAUGCUCUUUCUAUGUCUUUUUUUUUUUUGUUUAGUGAAUGCUUUACUAGAAACUACUGCUGUUGAAAGAAGUAAAAGUGGUCCAAAGAGGCCUUAAAUCUGGAAUGUUCGUUUUCCUAGCUAAAUUGGAAAAGGUUCGGCAUCUUACAGGGUGCUGGUUUGGCGAAUCUUGGUAAUACUUGUUUUCUGAAUUCAGUUCUCCAAUGCCUGACAUACACGGAGCCUUUUGCAGCAUACUUGCAGAGCGGCAAGCACAAGUCGUCAUGUAAGUUUGUGUAGAUGUAUAUGUGAUUCUGUUGAUUACCCUUCGAUUUUGUUUGAAAUAUCUCUUCUGAUAUUUAACCACAUCUUUUUCCAUCCAAUGGAACUAUUUAUAUUUGCAUGUGGAGCAUAUCAUUCUACUUAACUUUUGUGUGCUUGCUGACAUUGAAUGGAAGUCAUAAAAUAGGCUUCCCUUACUAUAGCGCUUUUCAUUUUCACAUGUUAUGGAUCGUCAACUUGACUUCACAUCAUCUUUUAUAGGCCGUACUGCUGGCUUCUGUGCAAUGUGUGCUCUUCAGAAUCAUGUUAUGCAUGCUCUACAAUCUACCGGGAAGAUAUUGUCACCAUCUCAUCUUGUCAAGAACUUGCGAUGUAAACUUGUGUCCUGGAUUCCAUCUCCCUCCCAAAAAAAACUUUUUGAAUGAUUAGAUCCACUUAUAUUUCUGUACUGCUUGCUGUUGAUUUACUCUACUUAAGAAUUGCAACCUUUUGACUAUACUUUCAGGCAUAUCUCGCAAUUUUCGGAAUUUCAGACAGGAAGAUGCUCAUGAGUACAUGAUUAACUUGCUUGAGUCAAUGCAUAAAUGUUGUUUACCUUCUGGUGUCCCAAGUGAGUCUCCUAGUGCAUAUGAGAGAAGUUUAGUUUACAAGAUUUUUGGCGGUCGUCUUAGAAGCCAGGUGCCUUAGGUUUUUUUUCUUUUUUAUUUGGAAAUGUAUUAUAGAGGAAAGAGGCCAUCUUUGUAAUCUGUUUUGACUUAUCUGUAUUUGUGCUGCAGGUAAAAUGUAUGCAGUGUUCCUAUUGUUCGAAUACGUUUGAUCCAUUCUUGGAUUUGAGUCUGGAAAUUGCGAAAGCUGAUUCUCUACAUAAAGCACUUAAACAUUUCACUGGGCUGGAGCAACUUGACGGUGGGGAGAGGCAAUAUCAGUGUCAGCGGUGCAAACAGAAAGUUAGGGCUUAUAAACAGCUUACGAUUAAUAAGGCUCCGUUUGUGCUCACCAUUCAUCUCAAGCGUUUUGAUUCUCAUAUUGCUGGUCAAAAGAUUGACAGAAAAGUGGAGUUUGAACCCAGGAUCGACUUGAAACCAUUUGUUAGCGAUCCCAAUGUGAGUAAGCAUGUGUAAUGUUGGGUUUGCUUCAGCUGCUCUUUCAUUUGCCUUUCUUGCUUCUAUAAUCUUCAGUAAUCUUUGCAGGAGGGAGACUUGAAAUAUACCCUUUAUGGUGUCCUAGUUCAUGCUGGUUGGAAUACCCACUCUGGUCAUUAUUAUUGUUUCGUACGCACAUCAAGUGGCAUGUGGCAUUCUCUUGAUGAUAAUCAGGUUAAGUUUGAGGACAUUUUGUAAGCCUACGAUUCCUUAAUAUUGAAUUUUGAUUGCUAUUUACUUUGAUAUCUUACCGGUAUAUCAUGCUAACAACUCUGUGAUUCAAUCAGCAGGCAUAUGCAUAUAUAUAUAUGUAUGUUCCUGCUAAUCUACACGUUGGCAGUGAUGUCCUAUUUUCUAAGAUUAGAGUUUAUAUCCUUCCUUGUAACUUAAAUAGCAAAUAUACUUGGAAAGUACUGGUAGAGGAGUUACUGAUGGUCCAUUUAGUUGUCUGAAAUGUAUAAAAUGUGAUCCUUUCCAAGUAGGUGCAUAAUGGAUCUUAAGCGCAAAAAGGAGGACAAUGAAUUAAAGGGAAAUGAGAAAUUUUCAAGUUAUGAAAGUUGCCAACUAGGUUUUUGUGCUGACUUUUCUUUAAAACAUUCAAAUAUAGGUACACCAAGUCAGUGAGAAGACUGUAUUGUCUCAAAAAGCCUAUAUGCUAUUCUAUGUACGUGAUAGAAGUUUGAUCGUGAANNNNNNNNNNNNNNNNNNNNNNNNNNNNNNNNNNNNNNNNNNNNNNNNNNNNNNNNNNNNNNNNNNNNNNNNNNNNNNNNNNNNNNNNNNNNNNNNNNNNNNNNNNNNNNNNNNNNNNNNNNNNNNNNNNNNNNNNNNNNNNNNNNNNNNNNNNNNNNNNNNNNNNNNNNNNNNNNNNNNNNNNNNNNNNNNNNNNNNNNNNNNNNNNNNNNNNNNNNNNNNNNNNNNNNNNNNNNNNNNNNNNNNNNNNNNNNNNNNNNNNNNNNNNNNNNNNNNNNNNNNNNNNNNNNNNNNNNNNNNNNNNNNNNNNNNNNNNNNNNNNNNNNNNNNNNNNNNNNNNNNNNNNNNNNNNNNNNNNNNNNNNNNNNNNNNNNNNNNNNNNNNNNNNNNNNNNNNNNNNNNNNNNNNNNNNNNNNNNNNNNNNNNNNNNNNNNNNNNNNNNNNNNNNNNNNNNNNNNNNNNNNNNNNNNNNNNNNNNNNNNNNNNNNNNNNNNNNNNNNNNNNNNNNNNNNNNNNNNNNNNNNNNNNNNNNNNNNNNNNNNNNNNNNNNNNNNNNNNNNNNNNNNNNNNNNNNNNNNNNNNNNNNNNNNNNNNNNNNNNNNNNNNNNNNNNNNNNNNNNNNNNNNNNNNNNNNNNNNNNNNNNNNNNNNNNNNNNNNNNNNNNNNNNNNNNNNNNNNNNNNNNNNNNNNNNNNNNNNNNNNNNNNNNNNNNNNNNNNNNNNNNNNNNNNNNNNNNNNNNNNNNNNNNNNNNNNNNNNNNNNNNNNNNNNNNNNNNNNNNNNNNNNNCAUAAGUGUAAAUUCUUCCAAGCACCCUCACUGUGAAAACUUGCAGUUUCGGUUGAUAACUGAUUCUAAUGUUCAGACAGUAGAAAAUGGAAAUCAGUCUAAUGGUAAUUCUACCAGUGAUCAAUUAUUAGAUGAGACAAAGCGAAAGAUUGGUGUCACUCUUGGUACUUCUGAGCAGCCUAAAAUAUGCUUGAACCAUGCGCCAGAUCAGUGCAAGUCAAGUAAAACUGAUUCACAUGAUAAAGGUACACACCAGCACGAGUUGGUGAGUUUACUCACCAGGGGAUUAGCUGAAACCACUGGUUAGUAUUUGCAUAACAAUUGCUUUUUUUCAUUUUUGCUCGUCUUGUAUUGUUCUUUUCAUGUUGGUGUUGUGUACUUGCCUGAAUCUUAUGUAUUACUGUGGGAUUUUCUUUUUCUUUUUUUCUGCAUGCAGUUGCACGAUGGGAUGAUAUAGAAUUGCCAAUGACAGAAAAUCUGCAUAGGGUAGAAAGUUCAGUAAAGAAAAGCAUUGGUUAUGUCCUGGAUGAAUGGUAAACUUUCUUGAUCUUCAACUUAAAUUAUCAUUUUUGAGUUCAAACUAUGAUAUAUAAAGAUAAAUGUUUGACACUUCUCGCCAAUUAACUAUGUCCUUGCCUGAUGAGUUAUAUGCUUUUGUUUUAAUACCCACAAAUUAGGAAUUUCUGCAGUUCUCUUCAUAGCCAGUUAAUAUUAGAUUCCUAAAGAUGAUAGUUUGCACAAUUCUACAAAUGUGGGGGUUUUAAUAUGUCAAGUUUGUUGCCCAUGCAAUGCCCGGAAUUGUUUUAACUUUUAAUUAUCUGAAAGAGAGAUUAUGAAUAAUUUCUUUGCUUCUUUUAUCACUCUGGAUGGAAAGUAAAAAAAAUAAUUUCAAACUGACAUAGUGAACAUGGAUAAACAAACUGGUAAUAACUAAUAAACCAUUUUGAGCAAUGUAAAGAGAUAAAUUCUUUAAAUGACUGAAGUUCCCUUUAAGAUGUAAUCACAAAAAAUGAUUGACCAUUUAAUAGCACCAGUGUAACUUCCAUAAAGGGGGACAUGAAUUUACUUUCUGAGGAUAGGAAAGAAGUAAGUUUUCACUCUUUAGUAUUUAGGCUGCAGUAUAAAAGAAAAGUAAAAACAGAAAGUCCAUAAAGGGCGUUGUAGACAAUUUGCUAAAUGAAUAAAUAUAAACAACUUUGCUAAUAUAUAAAAAAUACAUUAAAAUAUCGUGAGAAGAUGGUUCUUGCCAAGCUUCAGUAUUGGCUGUUAGUUUGACAAGCUUGCGCUAAAGGUCCUAAAUAUCAGAACUGGGGAUGUGGUUGAAUCUAUACUUUAUAAGAGGCAUCCCUUUAAAACUCCCUGAAUGCAACCAAGAGGAGUCUGUUUACACAAAAACUGAAAGGAGUGAGUACAUCCCGCAUUCCACCGUUGUACAUCUUUUGAACUCCCUGAAUGCAUUGAAGAGGAGUCUGUUACACAUAAACUGGAAGAAGUAAAUACAUCACACUGUUCCACAUUGCGAAAGGGGGCAGUCACAUGCUUGCCAUUGGAAUUUAAGUAGAAGGGAGCAUUGUAAAUUCAUCCAAUUGAAAUUCAUGUGAAAGGGUGCAUUGUGAAUGGAGAUUGAAUUUUUAAAUUAAAAUUUAGUUGGAGUCAAACAAUAAUACAGUUAUUAAAACUGCUUGAGUAGGCUUCAUGUGCUUGCUUAGAAUUCUCUGGUUUAAUAUGUAAUAUUUCAGAUAUUAGAUGAACAUUGAUCGUUUGAUUUUAUCAUUGGAGUUAUUUGGUGUGGUGUGAUGUAAUAUGUAACGAGCAGUUGGCAUGAAAGUUUUUACGUGAAAAGCGAACUCAAAUUUGAGUGGACUUUUUAAGACUAUUUUGCUGUAACGACCCAGCCCACUAGUAAUAAUAACUCGUUGGGCCAAACCACCGGCCCAAAAUACUUAAGCCCAGUUAUUAUUACUAGUAUUUAAGUCUCUUACAUACUUAAUCACAUUCCCAUUUCUAUCCGAUGUGAAAUUAUUGGAGUGUGACAGACUCCUCCCGUUAAGGUUCUGACGUCUUCGUCACCAAUCACACACACAGCCCAAGAUCACCAGGCAAUGUGAGACUUGUCUUACUAGCCUUGUCAUCCAGACCCUGGCAUAGCCGGUCACUUUGUCAUUCAGACUCCGGCAUAGCUAUUACCUUAUCUUUCAGGCCCUGGCUCAGCCGAGACUCGUCACACAUCUUCGGCUGGUGAACCGGCUCUAAUACCAAAUGUAACGACCCAGCCUACUAGUAACAAUAACUCAUUGGGUCCAAACCACCGGCCCAAAAUGCUUAAGCCCGGUUAUUAUUACUAGUAUCUAAGUUUCUUAUAUAUUCAAUCACAUUCCCCAUUUCUAUCUGAUGUGGGAUUAUUGGGGUGUGACAUUUGCCUUGAAAGUAUUUGCAGAAAUGGGUGAAUGAUUGUUGGAGCAGAAACCUUUUUUUUGCUUUCGGCACACCAUGCUCUGGUAGAUCAGUGGCAGCAGGAAAGUUUUGAGGCUUCUAAUGCAGGGGAACCCAAAAAUGAGGUUCUAAGCCUCAAAGGCAGAAGCUUAAAUUUGGUGCUUCCAAUUACUGGAAAAGAAGCUAAUGGAAAUAUAUUAGUAUUGUGCUUCUCGUAAUAUUGUUGUCGUUACUCAACCAAUACUUUAUCAAACAACAGUAUAUCCAACAGCAGGGCCUUAUCAGAAAAAGAAAUGUCCUCUAGUCCAGAAAGGCAAAAAAUUUUGUCUGGACAGUUUUUAGGCAUUUAGGUUGCUUGACAACUAUCGUUAACUUCUAGCUGAUGCUAUAUAAAAUCAAUAUAUUUGUAGUGAAACAAAUGGAUUAUGUGCCCAGAUUAACAUUUUCAUAUUGUUCGUUUACAAAUGGUAGUAUUUCUGCUAUCUGCACCCAGUGCAUUUUGAUCUUUUAAUGUAAUAGUCUAUCGUCAUUAGAAGCUAGUGGCGUGCGUAGUUUACAUGUACUAUUUUUGUAAAAUAUUUUUUAAUAGGCAGUCCAGCAUACGAGACACUUUGAGGUGUGAUGAGCAGUCUAAUGGACACAACUUGCCCUAUAAUCCAAGGAGGUGCUUUUUUGUGAUUCAAACCCAUGAUAACUAGGACCCGAUAGUACGACCGUUAUCAUUGCCUCAGACCCAUAUGCUAUUGUGGAUUUUAUUUAGAACAUGAAAAUAAUGUUAAGUAUAAUUUAUCUGUUUACAGUAGUUGCAGUUAUCGUUUGUGUUUCUCAGCUUGUGCUUUGUCGAAAGGGUUGUAAAUUUAGCUUCUUAUAUCUCAGGGACGAGGAAUACGAUCGCGGUAAGAGGAAAAAGGUGAAGAAUGGUAAGGAAUCAUUCGACGGGGCGAAUCCUUUCCAGGAUGUCGCGAGCAUGAAGGCACGAAAGAAGAUGAAGUUGAAGGUGGACCAAACCAGAGUGGGGAACCAACCGCUGCGGAUAUUAUGAUGGUGACGAUGAAACAUGGCCAACUGUUAUUUGUUGUAUCGUUUGUUUUUUAGCAUAAUAAUCAGUUUUGUUGUUGUUCUAAGUUUUCUGUUCGUCUAGUCAGAGAGUUAUUGUAUAACUUAUUUUUUUCGUUGCACCCAUUUGACAGCCUAAUUUAAGACGGACAUUUUGGCGAGAUCUAAUUUAAGACGGACAUUUUGCACCUAUACGAUGAAGUAAAAGAGAUUUUCAGAGAUCUGCAAUUUUGGUUCAUCCAAUAUUUAUCUUCAUCUCGUUUUGUUGUUAAUUAAGUCUCUCGUAAAGUCCAAAUACAAGAGUAAUAUUGAUUAAUUGCUUGUGCGUAGGUGUUAUUGAAAAAGGCUCUGUUUUAUCAAAGUCUUUGUAGAUGCUGCUCCUGUGUAUGCAGUAGGAUGUUAACAACAUAUAAAUUGAUAGAUUUUUUUUCUUUCUUUUUAAUUAUGUUCCAUUUUUGUCUAAGCUAACAAAAAUCCUUUCGGUUUCACCGCAAAAAGAUUUGUUUCUUAUGCCUGUGAUAUGUUAUGUUCUACAUAAAAAAACAAGUUGUAAUUUGCUUUGGGCGCCUUGUGUUCCUUUCCAUGCUUCGCAGUUGGCAAUUCGCAUCUCGAAUGUAAAAAUUUAGGGCCUUUUUGGAUACUUAGUAAUUUUUUUGUAGUAUUGGAGUAUAAUCACAUCGAGUGGCUAUUGAAUAUGUGGGGUGUAAGAUGCAUGUCGCCUUUUAGAUAUAAACUUACAUUUUGUCCCUCUGUAGAAUAUACUGUAGAAUAUAGAAAAGAUCGUAAUUUUAUUUUUGUUUUAGAUAUAAACUUACAUUUUGUCCCUCUGUAGAAUAUACUGUAGAAUAUAGAAAAGAUCGUAAUUUUAUUUUUGUUUUACUGCAAGGAACUAUUGGUAAAUAGCAUAACAAAUUGAUACGUUUGGCCAUUGGGUAGAUUUAUAAGAGCAAAUUACUAUAUUGUAUACUUUUUGCGGUGGGGUAGAUUUAUAAGAGCAAAUUACUAUAUUGUACUACACAACCAUAGUGAUAAAGUAAAAAUACGCUAAAAACGACAAGGGAGUAAAUUGAUAUCGACCCUUAAGUUUAUGCUUGAUUGCAGGACAGAUUUUAUGGAUAUGAUUUAGAUUUUAUGGAUAUGAUUUUUUUUGUUCUUGGUCAUUCAACAAUCGAUAUUUUAUUUGGCUGUAGGUCAUAAGAAUAUAUAUAUAAGUUCAAAUAAAAACAGAACACCUGAAAUAUCUCAAAAUAACCUUAUUUAACUAGAAUUGUUUAUUUCUCUUUUUCUUUUUUGCUAUAUUAAGUGGAUUAGUCCUCUAUUAUUUUUCAAUUACAGAACAUGCUGGGUACUUGUUAUCUUUUGCAGGAUGUUAAAUUACAAACGAUUGCAGUAAUAAAGCAUGAGGUCUGAUUUGGAGUGUUCUGAGCUCGAGUUUUGACUUUUGAGUGUGGGAGGAGUCCACUUGAUCCCCUUCACUGAAGAUUUGAAGUUCCCUACAUCACCUAUUCUUUUUUUAUUCUUCUUUGUUUACUGGGAAAACUUCAAAUACCCGCUUGUGGUUUCACUUUUUUCCACUUUAGUAUCCUAUGGUUUAAAGUGUAUCAAGUCAGUAUCCUGUGGUUUUGCACUUUUUUAUUUUAGUAUUCUAUGCUUUAAAGUGUAUCAAGUUAGCACCCAGUAAUUUCACACUUUCUCACUUUAGUACUCUGUAGUUUAAAAACCACAUGAUACUAACUUGAUACAAAAAUAAAACCACAUGGUACUAAAAUAAAAAAGUACGAAACCACAAGAAGGGUUUUGAAGUUUUUUCUUGUUUAUUUUAUUACUUUAUUGUAUUUAUAUUUCCCCCCCCCCAAAAAAAAUCAAUUAUUUAUGCAAUUCCUCUUCCCCAUGAAAGCUCCAAUAAUUGAUGACAAUUAAUGAGGUUUCCAAUUUAUUGCACAAGCACAAGACAUAUGCAAAUAAGUUGCUGCAUUUUUUUGCCUCCACUUAAUAAAUUGCCUCACACCUUGCUUGUGAAUGCUCUGCUCCAAAUGCAUACAUACAUACAUACAUACAUACAUACUCUCUCUUUCUCUCUAUCUCUCUCUCUCUCUUUUAAGAUUACAAUCCACAUAUCUCGGCUCUGUCACUCUCUAUUAUUCUUCUGUUCCCCCCAAAGUUGUUGUGUGUUAAAUGUGCUCCCAAUUUUUGGAGAUUCAAACAUAAAAGCCUCUGGAAUUAGAAAUCAAGUAUCUUUGAAAUUAGAUAAUAAUAAAAACGUUAACACCGUUUCGAUUAGUGAAUGAGUGGUGUUAUUAUUAACAUAGAUGAAUUUAAAUUUCGUCAAAAUUCUAUCACUGAUUAUUAAGUUAAUUCAGUAAGAAAUCUUUCUAUUAAUAAGUAAAAAUGACUCUGCUAAUACUACCAUUCUAAUUGGAUUAAAUAGUUAAUUUCGUAGAGAGUAUGUUAUUGAAUUCCGCCUGGUAGAUUGUGAUUGAUUGGUAUUAUUUUUUCGAAAAUAGCUGUGUUUCUAAGUCUUUUUAUUGCUUGCUUAUUUUUUUCAAUAUUGUUCUCUUAUUUUAUUCUAUUAGUGAAUGCUGAUUAUAAACUAAAAUUUUAUGGUACAAAUUAUAAAUCAAAACUGGUAUCGCAUUUCAAACGCGCGUUGGAAUCUUGCAGCACAUUACAUGGUCUCGUAUUUCAAAGUAAAAAAUAUAUACAUCUCAUAAAUCUAAAAUUAAAAUGAUACAGAAUACGAACAAAUAAAAGCACCCACGUCCCCUAUGCUCCUACAAAAUGAUUUUAAUUCAUCUCUUUAAAUAAAUCAGGGUUAAAUUACAUCAUUGGUCACCGAACUUUUCGGCGAAAUCUUGUGUAGAUCAUCAAACUUAUAUUUCUUUCAAUCGAGUCAUUAAAAUUUAAUUUUUACGUGAUUUGGUUACUGGUCUUGAAUUUUAAUAUUAUUUAUUUUUACGAGAAUGAUGGUGCACUAGAUUUCAAUAUUGAGAAAUACAUAAAUAGUUUACUAUUUUAUUAUAAUUUGAUAUGUUGCUUGAUUUUCUAAAAUAGAGAAUAUGACAACUGCUAUUUUGUUAGAAAAGAUUAGUUAUAUUUGAAAUUAAAUAGAAAGAUAACCUAAUUGAAAUAAAAAUUAAGUCUUAGUUCAUUUAAGUGCGAAGCGAAGUUAAAUUUGUGACACGACCUAAACGAAAUUUUAGCUAAAAGUGCAGGUGACUGAAACAAGCGUAGUUUACUGAUACAUCUAGUUAAAGAGAUUUGAAAUUUUGAGAACUGAUAUGUGGCCGAAAUUGAACGCUUUGAAAUGCAAAGGAAUAUUAAUCUGAAUCUGUGUCGUUAGAUUAUGUGGAUAUUGGCCCACCAAUUAAAAUAUUACUUAACAAUAACAGUUUUACUUAAUAUUAUUAAAGUGAGCUUACUAUAUUUAAAGCACGGAAGCUCAACAUGCCGUUCGUCGUCGGAUUCACCAACAUUUCAUACACAUUAGCAACAAAAUGCUAAUAAAAGUGUAGUACUUCACGAUUUUGAAACAAUCCGGAUGCUAGAAGAGCACAAGACAUAAAUGAAAAAAGGGUUACAUUUCAUCNNNNNNNNNNNNNNNNNNNNNNNNNNNNNNNNNNNNNNNNNNNNNNNNNNNNNNNNNNNNNNNNNNNNNNNNNNNNNNNNNNNNNNNNNNNNNNNNNNNNAAAAGAGAGAGAUGCAUUCGGUUUGUUGAAAUUAUUUUUUGGCCCUGACUUGCGCCGUUGUUGAAGGACGGCGGAGGAGUGACUUGACAACUUCAAUCGAGUUUUUUGUCGGAGACUGGACCGAUGGAGAAGACGGGAUUGCAUAAAAAUAGAAAAUAACAAAAGUGACUGAGGGCAGAGAAAAGAUUACAUCAAGUUUACGAAUAAAGAAAAUGAUAGCAUUACCGAGGAAAAGGGGAGCAUCAGAAAUAAGUUUCCGCUUGGAGACUCAAAUCUCGGUUGAAGAUAAUCUUCUGUUCGAGUAGUGGCUGUGUAUAAAAAAAAAAAGUAUAUAUAUGUUAAAAUUAUUCAGCCAUUAUGGAAGAAAAUUAUAAAAAGCAUUAGAUGACCAACCAAGUGGGAUGGAUGGGUUUUGCGGAUAUUUGCUCGAGGCAAAGAAGAGAUCGUGAAGAUGCUGUAGUAAACUGAUCCACGUGGGUAGGCAUAGCCGGAAAGGGCUACUCCUGUAUAGUCGUGACGAAAGCUUCUAGCUGAAGAAGCAGUCUGAGACGAUUUUCAUGGCUGAAAGACUUGUCACACUUCAAAUAUACUUUUAGUGGGAGGCAGAACUCGCUGUGUUGACGUUAAAAUUCUAGAAGGAGCUGGGGAUCGGGGUGAAUUGAGCCCAAACAUGCCGCGCUACAUACUGAGGAAGAAUUAAAGCCUCAGUACUCGUAAGUAACUUUGAAGGCGAUUAUAAGCCCCACAUGAAGCAUCCCGGGGGCUAGAUAGGAAUACCAUACAUCUGAAUGUUUCACACAGCGCGAGAAGAAAGAUAGCUCGCCUGAAGGCUUCAAUUGAGCCAGGAACCAAGAGGGGCCGGUGAGAGAUCAACAAAAGGAGCCCAAGAAAUAGUUGAAUCAGAUGUGGCUCAUAAAAAAGCCUUAAAAUAAGUCAGAAAAUCAAAAGGUUGACAGAGGUCAUCGGCUGUGGACAGCCGAGAGUAGCCCAUAAGAAUCAACUAGGCAGCUGGAAUGGGAUUGAAAGAGAUUGACAUAAAACUGGGAUGUAGAAUUGAAGAAACAUUUACAAAAAACCAAAAAAACGCCACACCUCAGACUGAGGCAAUGCCAUACCGAGAAGGUAAGUGACUUAAUGGAAUCAAAAUAUUUCUGUAAACGAAAGCAAGGAAAAUGGCCCUAAGGUCAACUUAUUGCCAUUAGCUAAAGCCGAUGGCGAUCGGAACAAAAUCCGAUUGAUUUUCUGCGAACCGGUGCAGAAAAGAUUAUGCAGCAACCAGUAUAUGGAGGAAACGCUGUAUGUUCCUGAUCUGGUGACUGGAGCAGGGGAUUCACCUGCAAAUUUUGGAGGAAUUUGGAGUAAGCCAAAUCAUUAGAUCGAAGUGUGCCUUGCGAAAUCGACACCCAUCAGGAUUGUAGGCCAUAGAAAGGGUGAACGCCAUGAGGCGUAAGCCAACAAUGGCGGCUACAUCAAAAAGAGUAGGGGUUAGAGGUCCUCUUUUGAAAAGCAAAAUAUUAGAAACAGGGGACCAAAGAAACAAGAGCGCGCGGCUAGAAGAUAGAUUAUCGCGCUAUAGGAGGGUGCCUGAGAUAAUUGAAUCGCUUCAUAAAUGCCUAUUUCUCGGCCAGGAGGCGCCAUAACGGAUUCUACUCUAUCUAACCAGGGCCAAAUACGCUGUCAGAGACACUUGGCCAAGUUCUGAGACUCUUCCCUGUCGAAGCUGAUGAACAAGAAUGGAGAUGAAUAACUCUUUUCAGAGAAAAUCCCUCAUCAGAGAAAGGGGAGUCAGUAGGCGGAUGGUAUGUCUAAAAGAAAUCCUAAUAUAAACCUAGAAGGAUCUAAAUCAACGAAAGGUUUGAGUAUGGUAUAUGUCAAGAGAUGAAUGAGAAGGAAGGAGGAACCAGAGACAUUGUUCAAAAGAAAGAGAAGAGCGAGAGAUUCGGUUAGAAAAGAAAAGAGAAUUGAAAGAGACAAAAAGAAUGGAAGCUUGAUGAAGAAGAAAUGGCCGUCGUAUUGGACUUCGGUCAAUUACGAGUCCCGAGGUCGGCUAUAAUGAUGAAUAGAGGCGGUAAUUAAGAUACUAAUUAAUUCGGGUAUGAGACAAAAUGAGAACGUGAUCAAAGGCCGUGGAUAAAAGAACAACGGCCAAGCUAAAACCGUACGAAAGAUUGUGUCACGAAUCGCUGUCAGAUCUCGUCAGAAAAUUUGAAUUUGAUUGGACGAGAACACGCCUCGGAUCAAGCUUGCUUCGGGCAAUAAGAAGUUGAAGAUCGCGCCAGCUACCGAAGCGUCGCUUCGAAAGCUGCGAGGGGCAAUUGUUGAACCAAUCCGGCGCAGACAGUUGGCACACUGAGUUCAUAUCCAUAUUCAGGAUAGCGCUGAUCGGAGCAGGAAAAUGCGCCAGGAGAUAUGAGCGCGCGUUUGUUUGGAAAGAACGUGACAACGUAAGCGGUUAUGGGAGUUCCCAACGGCAGUUCCAAUCGGCCGAACGUGGUCGCUCCAAAUCCGGAAAGAUGGCCGAUCGUGAAAUAACUGAACACAAGGGAAAAAAUAUAAUAUAGACCUGUAGUACCCUGAAAACGGUCUUCGCGCUGCCACAAGAGACCACCUUUAUUUUCCUCGCUUUGCCUAGGAGUAUGUUUCUGUGUAUCUUGUAACUUAGCCUCCUUGAAGUCUGUCUGCCCUCCGGGCAUCACUUCAUUGUAAACAUCUUGGAGUCUGUCUGCCCUCGGGGCAUCACUCCCUUGUACACUUCGGAGUCUGCCUGCCCUCCGGGCAUCACUCCCUUCUUAUUAAUAGAAAGUCGUUUUCGGCUCCUCAGGCCGACCAGAUCUCGCUUUUGUCCUAACUAUUCGGCUUAUCUCUCAGCCGAAAUAUAGGCCCCACCUGUUUAUUCGUCUCAUCUUGCCGAAGCGAAUUUACUAAGGAGGUUUUCGGACCCGGCCGAUUUGAUCCCUCAUCGGUCGAAUCGCUUGACCCGUCGUGGGCGCAAACUUCGAGGGUCACGAUCAGCAGCCGAUUUCUACCCCGACACACUUCCCGAGGAGGGUCAAGGCAUCAGGAAAUUCGGCUAUCAACAAAUAGUACAAGUGAAUUCAUAGGAAAAGGGAUGGUAAUUAAGAAAUUUCAUAGGCCAACAAAAUUUAAAUUACUAGUCACUGGGGAAAGUUCCGCAUUUGGUUAAAAUAACUUGGUAAACAUAUGCAUGUUGAUUCUAAUUUAGUUGGCUCUAGUUAUAAUUUAUAUCUCAAAUUAUUUUACAAAUGGAUGUAAUUUGGCCAUUUACACUAGUUUAAGCCGUUUUGGUUUGGCACUGUAAGUCAUCUUUACGGCGAUUCUAGGGAAACAGAGUGGCCUGAUUUUAAACCCUAGUUUCAGACCAGCACUGAAUGGAUUCGAAAUGUUUCGAUUCCCGUUUCCAAGUUUUGACUGGAAACUUCAAGCAAUGUCUAAAAGGUGCUGACAUAGUCACCCUGAAACACUGAUUAUACACCAAUAUCUAAUAGUAGGAAAUGUAAAAAUGUAAGCGUUACCCUGCUAACACAAAACGUGAACAAGUAUGUUCACAUGAAAUUUGAUUUCAGUUGUUUGUAUAAGAUAGGCAAUAUAUAACAGAAUAGAACCUAAAUAAGCAUAAAUGUAACCCCUGAUUAAAAUGAAAUACUACAGAAUUACCUGAGCUGAACCUAGAACAUAGAUUGCUGAAUAAUGCCGACCAUGAAUGACCAUGUCAGCAACCAUUGCAAGGGGUAUAGUGAGGGACAUGCCUAAGGUGGCUACCAAUGGAGUAGUCCAAACAACACAGAGAGCCCUGCAUAUGGGUUAUCCUUGAUUAGAUAACAUUUCCUGGGAACUCAUGAUAAAAGGCCAAAGUUGCUUCACACAUACCAGAAGUAGUCAGAGAGAACGCUGCCAGAAAAAGCCGUUAGCUAGCACUACCUCGUCCAAUUUAUCAGAAUGGGGUAUUGUGAACUUGGGUUCGAUCCCUAAUGCAGUCAAGGGCCACACUGAAAGAGAGACAAAAACAAAAUACUAGAUUGACGCACCUAUGACUAAUAUAGAAGAGCGUGCUCAUCGAUAAUAGCAUUAGGCCCCCUUAUGAGAGAGGAAAUUACUAAGCAAACUAGUUUAUCAAGAUAUGACUCAGCAACAAUUUAGUGAAAAGCACAUGAUACUUUAUCAGGAAGUCAUUGCUCAUAAAGGAAAUACGGGAUGUACUUUAAACCAAGAAUUUAAGUGCCGCGCAACAUGUUCCCAUGAUGUUUAGCUGCAGGCAUCGUACAGGCAGCAAGGUAUUGUGCUGACAAACAAGAUAUUUUCUUUUUUCUACGACAAUCCAUUUAACCUGUUUUUAAAUGUGCUUUUUAUCUGAUCCUUCGGACUCAAUUGACAAUACUACUUGACAAUACUACUUGCUAAUUUCAAAGAAAUUUCCCAGAGAUAAAACUACAUUUCAUUAGAUUGAGGGUUAUCAUUUAGGGAAACACAAAUCCCUUAAAAAAAAAGUAGGUCUCAAUUUCAUGAAAACCUUUUAAAAGAUUUAUUUCGUCAAAUUAGAAAAUAAAAGUUCAAAAAUUGGGAAAUCAAAAUAUGCCCCAAAAUUAAUGCUCCAUUUCAUCUAGUUCAGAUCGUCCAAAUGCAACUCACGGUAAAAGAUAAAUAGUUGGGACAGAAACUGUAAACAUAUUUUAUUAGAACAUUUGAAAAGAAAAAAAAAAAAAAAAAAAAAAAAAAAGAAGGUUUUCAACAGUCUGCCAAAAAAGGGUAGUACCACACUAAUACCCUGUCAGACCAUAAAGCAUCACAUAUUUACAAGAGUUAACAAAAAGAUUUUGAAAUAGCAGUUUGCCGGAUACGGUAUUCCGCAUCGAUUGUCGAAUUUCGGCAUCUUCUAGUUUGCCGGAUUUUGAAAUAGCAAUUUGUCAAAUUUCGAAAUCUUUCAGUUUGCUGGAUACGAGUUUCUGCAUUGAUAUUUGCAGGAUACAGGGAUCCAACACUGGCAUGGCCAGCCUCCCCCUCCAUGCCGAAUGUGUUUCUAAUUGCCUCUUUUAUUUGAAUGUAAAGUUUGCUAUUUCCCGCCACCGGGGCUAAAAUUUUAUUCUAAAAACUUCAUAUACCCUAAAUUAUAUUUAACGGUGUUGAUCAUUAAUUUGAACAUCCUAAGAUCGAAAAUAAAACUAUAGUAUCGGAGCCCCGGUACAAAUAGAUAGUAUAGUAGUCUAAUUAUAUAUAUAUAUAUAUAUAUAUAUAUAUAAUAUUGAUAGGCUAGAAUACCUUUAGAAGCACCAACUCCUUGGUGCUUCUAGGUUUCUAGCCCUUGAUCUACUCCUUCAUUAUUAAUAGCCUUUGGAUCAAACAUUAUUCCACCUACCACCGCUUACCACCAUCAUCUCAAUCCUACAUCUCUCGCGUCCAAUGCUAAAAACUCAAAAGCACCACUCCCUUGGUGCUUUAGAAGUAUUCUAGUUCAACUAUAUAUAUAUAUAUAUAUAUAUAUAUAUAUAUAUAUAUAUAUAUAAUAUAAUAUAUAUAUAUAUAGAUUGAGCUAGAAUACUCUCGAUAGUAAACGGGCGUUUUACUACCGAGUUGUUUUCGAUGAUAGAGCUUCCAAAUUGACGAUCGGCUCCGUUGAAUCAUGGAUCUAUACCACUUGAAGUGUUUAGAAAUCAAAUUUCAAAUCUUUUCGACAUCAUUUGCCUAAUGAUCAAAGAGUUUCAAAAUUUGUAAUUUUAAUGGUGGAUAAGAGACGUUUUCUCGUUUAACGGUGUAAAGAUAUCCAAAUCAAUUGAAUUUUUGUUAGAAAAUUCUUUAAACUAUUUAAAACAAGAUCUAUACUCUUGAUCUUGAUUACAAGACUCCUAUCAUCAUUUUUUAAAGAAUAUUCAUUUUCAGCCAUUCAUUUUUUGUUCACUAGAUGGAUAAAAGAACAAUAUCGAAAGUGCGUGAAAUGUGAUUUCUAGGUAGUUUAAAUGGUUUAGAUCAUAUUUAACGGAGCUGAUCGUCAAUUUAGAAGCUCUAUCAUCGAAAACAACUCGUUAGUAAAACGCCCCGUUUACUAUCGAGAGUAUUCUAGCUCAACUCUCUCUCUCUCUCUCUCUCUCUCUCUCUCUCUCUCUCUCUAUAUAUAUAUAUAUAUAUAUAUAUAUUUCAACCUUAGAAAUUUCUUACUGACUUAUGUUGGCAAAGUUUUGUGGACCUUAUAUUAAGUGCCAAGCAACUAAUUCAUAAACUAAUUGGGCCUGCAUUAAAUUUUGAUUUGUUUGCUUUGAAGUCAACCGACCAAUAGAAAUACUAAUGGAAAAAAAUGAAGCAAUACCUGUUUUGAUAGCCAUUUGGUUGGCUUUUUCCUUGAGACCAACGAGCUUUAGAUAUAUACAUACAUAUCAUGCCUUUAAUCGGAGAGCUUCAGCACAACAACAUGGGGCUCUGCCACUGCCAUUCCAAUGGCUUUUCAUGGCGCGCACUGAUUGUGUGGACUACGCUAGUAACAAACAUGCUCAAUAGUUUCUUUGGUGUUGGAUGUCCUCAAGAAGAGUACGAAGCUCUUUUAGAAUUCAGAGCUUCGUACAACAGAACAGGUCUGUCGUCGUGGGGAAAGCAGAGAGAUUGUUGUCUCUGGGAGAGAGUUAUUUGCGAUAACAGCACCAAACAAGUGGCCGAACUGCAGUUAUCAGACUUUCUGACAUACCAACUAGUAACAUAUGGGAUCCUUGAUGUCCAAAGUUGGAAAUUGAACUUGAGCAUCUUUUCUUCGUUCCGUGAGCUACGACAUCUUAAUCUAUCUGCUGAUUAUAUAUCAGGCUCCCUCUCAAGCGCCGGUAAGCCACAUAUUCAUCUUAAUCUCUUCUUCUUCUUCUUCUUUUUUCACUACUGUUAAUAAUUUCUUAUUGCUAUAUUGCUUCUCUUUUUCUUCUCGAUAAAAUGUCGAAGUUCGUCAUUUUUAUUUACAGACAUAUCAGGGCUUGACAAGUUGGAAGUCCUUGAUCUGAGCAUAAACGAAAUUACUAUUACUAUCCCGCCAUCUUUUAGAACUUUACGCUCGUUAAAAGUCUUGAACUUGGGGGAUAAUAAUUCAAAUGGCACGCUAGCUAUCGAAGGUAACAUGUCGUACUCUACGAUUAUAAGUACUCUAAUAGGAAGAUAUGCACCGCUGAAAUCAUAAUCGAUAUAUCUUCUUGUUGAUAUUUUUAUGCCUUUCUUGUUGUGUUCUCUUUCCAGCCUUAGUAGGAUUGAAGAAGCUGCAGGUGCUUGAUCUUGCAGGAAGCCAUCUUACAGGAGAGAUCCCGAUGUCUUUGGGAUAUUUGACAUCUCUCAAAGUCUUGAAUUUGGGAAGAAAUAAUAUAACCGGAUCACUUCCUUCAGAAGGUACAAAUUUUGUACUUCCCAUUUCAAAAUUUCCAUAUGCUACUCUUUGAGGAUCAUGCACCACAGGCAUGUAUGGUCUUAUUAUCUUGUGCAGUUCUCCAAGGACUAAAGAACCUACAGGAGUUGCAGCUUCAACAUAAUAAUUUCAACGGGAGUCUUCCUCUAACUUUAGGAAACCUUUCGAGCCUUCAGCAUGUUGAUCUUUCUUAUAACUCUUUCGAAGGAACGACACCGGAGCACCUCUUCACAGGACUUGGCUCACUUCAAUAUCUAGAUCUUUCAUAUAACAAUCUUCACGGAAAUUUUCCAUUGCACUCUUUUGCCAAUAUGUCAAAGCUUGAAGGACUCAUACUGUCAGACAACAAGGGACUAGAAGUGCAUAUUAAUAGUGGGAGUUCAUUUCAACAAGUGCAAUUGCGAAUUCUUAUGCUGUCAAGUUGUAAGCUGGAUAAGAGUGCCAUUCUCACCCCUAAUUUUCUCUGCUCUCAACGUCAACUCGAAGUGCUUGACCUCUCUGACAACCACCUGACAGGAAACAUCCCGGCUUGCCUACUCGACAACAACACCAAAAUGGAAUACUUGAACUUAGGAAGUAACUUAUUGACAGGACCAAUUCAUCUUCCCAGCCAUCACGUGAAAAGUAUGAAAAUAAUUGAUGUCUCUGUGAAUCUCUUUGUUGGCUCAAUCCGUUCUAAUAUUAGUAUGGUUUUUCCUAAUCUGAUGGUUCUUAACUUGUCAUCGAAUCAUUUAACUGGAAGCAUCCCUUCAUCAUUAGCUACCAUGAGACAAUUGCAGAUAUUGGAUCUCUCGGACAAUCUUACCAUCGGCAAAAUACCAGCUCAACUGACGAGUAAUAGUUCCCCAUUUGCAGUCUUGAAGCUUUCCAAUAAUAAUUUGCAUGGAAAAAUUCCUGAUGUAAACUUUGUUGGUUCUAGUGCAUGCUACUUGGAUGGUAACAUGCUAUCAGGAACACUACCAAGCAACAUCUCAAGAGAUAUAGAUAUACUGGAUGUCCGUGACAAUGAGCUAGAUGGUUCAAUUCCAGAAACCAUUUCGGAGGCAUCAUCUUUGAAGUAUCUCAUUCUCAAAGGGAAUCACUUGCAUGGACAAAUUCCGCAAAGCAUAUGCAAUCUAACGACACUUUUCGUAUU
rnacentral:lncRNA from 1 species